UCCACGGACACACUCCGCCAGCUCUGGAUGCCUUUUUUAUGCAUGGACAACUUUUCCCCCCUACUUCUUCUUUCUUUGAGGAUCUUCUCCACUGGAUUAUAUCUUUUUUUAGAGACAAACUAAGACAACUUUGAAGAAAACCCCUGCGUGUGUGUGUGUGUGUGUGUGUGCGCGCGCGUGUGCGUGGGUGAUAAUAAUAAGUGACAAGUGCAGUGCGCGCACGGGGAUUGUCCCACUUUUGGAGGAGCUAUGCCGAGCUAUGCAAAGGAGUAACUGGAGUUUUUUCAGAACCUCCACAGCUUUCUCUCCCUGAGGGGAUGGUUGAGGGUCCUCGGGGGCCAGGAGCGACUUUGGGGCUCCUACACGCCUGCUUCGUCUCGUUUGGGGUUCAAUCCAAAUUAAAAGGGAGAUGAGAGCCACAAUCUGUUCCUUCCUGCUGUGGACGACCUACCUGCUGCUGGCCACCGCUGAGGAAGUGCAGUUUCCCCAGGAACUGAUAGACAGACUGGCCCACAGUGAAAUCCACAGCAUCAGCGACCUCCAGCGGUUACUGGAUAUUGAGUCCGUAGGUACGGGAAACGAUGUUAUCGAGGGGCCCAGGCACCACAAACACCACAACAACCACCACCACCCCAAGAACCACUCCCGUCACCCUGGUUACUAUAGCGACCUGAAGAGCUCGCAGCUACACAGUCGUCGCAAGAGGAGCAUCGUCGAGGAGGCGGUCCCGGCGGUGUGCAAGACGCGGACGGUGAUCUACGAGAUUCCCAGGAGCCAGGUGGAUCCCACGUCGGCCAACUUCCUGAUAUGGCCGCCCUGCGUGGAGGUGAAGCGCUGCACGGGAUGCUGCAACACCAGCAACAUGCGCUGCCAGCCCUCCCGCAAGCACCACCGCACCGUUAAGGUGGCCAAGGUAGAGUACGUCAAGAGGAGACCCAAGCUGAAAGAGGUCUUCGUACGAUUAGAAGACCACCUGGAGUGUGUGUGCACGUCGCAGCAACAUGUUGUGGAGCACUCCGAUGCAGAAACAGGCCAUCGUAGGUCUAAAGGUAAAAAAAGGAAAUCUAAAAAGCGCCGAAAGGAUUUAUUGGCAACAUAAUAAAGUCAAAUCCAUUACACAAGCCCCCCUCACCCACAUCCUCCUACUCCCACUCAAUGCCCACUGGAGAGCUGUGAAGGGAACAGUGGACGUGAGGUGAGACCAAUACGAUCUGAGAGAAAAAAACAAAAAAAAAGGAUGUCAGCGUGGGAGGGACCGCCUUCUAUCAUUCUUCGCUUCAAAGAACUUUUCCCUAAAGACAAGACUGAUGAAAAUAAAACAAGACAAAUGAUGCCAAAGGUGCUUUUAAAAACUAUCCAGUGACUGAUAGGAGGCCAAAAAGGGAUUUUUCUCUGUUGAAGAGACACGAAAGAGUUGGAUAGAGCCUUCAAAUAAAAAAAAAAAAAAAGUGGAGGACCUCCAGCUGGGCAACUCAAAAAAAGUGCCCUCUUUAAAUAAAUGACUGGUGCAGGAAGGAGAGCAUCCUGUCUAUGUACAGUUUUGCAAACUACAAACUAUUUAUACGCUUUUUUCCAAGCGAAAGAACGCGUCGAGAUCACCCUUUUGUUGUUAUACUUGUCGUCCUAUUAUUAUUAUUAUUAUUAUUAUUAUUAUUAUUACAUCAAUGUAUCAAGUCUUGUAUGUGGUUUGGAUAUGUGUGCGCCGAGGAGGAGACGUGCAGGAAGAGGCUUUAUUUUUGUUAUGAAAUAUAUUAUGCUUUCUUUUAUUCGAGCAGAAAUGUUUUUUGUCCUUGUUAUUGAAUGUCUAUUUAAUCCAUUUGGAAAAGAUGCAAAAAAAAGGGCGAUGAUUGUUGUGCAUAGUAAGUGGUCCUUAAUGCAUUUCACACACAAUCUACACUUUGUCACUGUAAUGCUGAUAAGAAGGAUGCCCACCCAAGUCUGCUGUAGCGACAACACACACACACACACACACACACACACACACACACACACUCACACACACACACACACACACACACACACACACACACACACACACACACACACACACACACACACACACACACACA